GUGAGGAAUAUUGGUCAAUGGACGCAAGUCUGAACCAGCCAUGCCGCGUGCAGGAAGAAUGCCCUAUGGGUUGUAAACUGCUUUUAUUUGGGAAUAAACCCCCGGUCGUGCACCGGGGCUGAAGGUACCAAAUGAAUAAGCACCGGCUAACUCCGUGCCAGCAGCCGCGGUAAUACGGAGGGUGCAAGCGUUAUCCGGAAUCAUUGGGUUUAAAGGGUCCGCAGGCGGUCCUAUAAGUCAGUGGUGAAAGCCUACAGCUUAACUGUAGAACUGCCAUUGAUACUGUAGGACUUGAAUUCGGUCGAAGUGGGCGGAAUAUGUCAUGUAGCGGUGAAAUGCUUAGAUAUGACAUAGAACACCGAUAGCGAAGGCAGCUCACUAGGCCUGGAUUGACGCUCAGGGACGAAAGCGUGGGUAGCGAACAGGAUUAGAUACCCCAGUAGUCC
rnacentral:rRNA from 1 species